rnacentral:rRNA from 1 species
ACUCAAAGGAAUUGACGGGGGCCCGCACAAGCGGUGGAGCAUGUGGUUUAAUACGUCACUAACCGUAGAACCUUACCAGGGCUUGACAUGUAGCGCACCGGGGUGAAAGCCUCGUUCCCGCAAGGGACGCUAACACAGGUGUUGCAUGGCUGUCGUCAGCUCGUGUCGUGAGAUGUUGGGUUAAGUCCCGCAACGAGCGCAACCCUCAUCCCAUGUUGCCAGCGGAUAAAGCCGGGAACUCUUGGGAAACUGCCGGGGUAACUCGGAGGAAGGUGAGGAUGACGUCAAGUCAGCAUGGCCCUUACGCCCUGGGCUACACACAUGCUACAAUGGACGGUAGACAGAGGGAACCAAGAUCGCGAGAUGGAGGCAAUCCCACAAAUCCGUUCUCAGUUCGGAUUGCAGGCUGCAACUCGCCUGCAUGAAGUCGGAAUCGCUAGUAACCGCAGAUCAGCGAAGCUGCGGUGAAUACGUUCCCGGGCCUUGUACACACCGCCCGU